rnacentral:rRNA from 1 species
GACGAACGCUGGCGGCGUGCCUAAUACAUGCAAGUAGGACGCAGUUGCGAAAGGGUGAGUAACGCGUAGGUAACUACCUAUUAGAGGGGGAUAACUAUUGGAAACGAUAGCUAAUACAGCAUACUAGUAGAUGGACCUGCGGUGUAUUAGCUAGUAGGAAGGGUAAUGGCCUACCUAGGCAACGAUACAUAGCCGACCUGGCGAGGUUUUCCGGCCCACCUGGGCCUGGACACCGCCCAGUCUCCUACCGGAGGGCACCGUAGGGGAUCUUUGGCAAUGGGGGGAACCCUGACCGCACAACGCCGCGUGAGUGAAGGAGGGUUUCCGAUCUUAAAGCUCUGUUGUGAAGCAAGCGUUACUUAACCAGAAAGGGACGGCUAACUACGUGCCAGCCGCCGCGGUAAUUC